rnacentral:rRNA from 1 species
CGAUAUCAGAUUAGGUAGUUGGUGAGGUAAAGGCUCACCAAGCCGACGAUCUGUAGCUGGUCUGAGAGGACGACCAGCCACACUGGAACUGAGACACGGUCCAGACUCCUACGGGAGGCAGCAGUGGGGAAUUUUGGACAAUGGGCGCAAGCCUGAUCCAGCAAUGCCGCGUGCAGGAUGAAGGCCUUCGGGUUGUAAACUGCUUUUGUACGGAACGAAAAGGCUCUGGUUAAUACCUGGGGUUGAUGACGGUACCGUAAGAAUAAGCACCGGCUAACUACGUGCCAGCAGCCGCGGUAAUACGUAGGGUGCGAGCGUUAAUCGGAAUUACUGGGCGUAAAGCGUGCGCAGGCGGUAAUGCAAGACAGAUGUGAAAUCCCCGGGCUUAACCUGGGAACUGCAUUUGUGACUGCAUUGCUGGAGUGCGGCAGAGGGGGAUGGAAUUCCGCGUGUAGCAGUGAAAUGCGUAGAUAUGCGGAGGAACACCGAUGGCGAAGGCAAUCCCCUGGGCCUGCACUGACGCUCAUGCACGAAAGCGUGGGGAGCAAACAGGAUUAGAUACCCUGGUAGUCCACGCCCUAAACGAUGUCAACUGGUUGUUGGGUCUUCACUGACUCAGUAACGAAGCUAACGCGUGAAGUUGACCGCCUGGGGAGUACGGCCGCAAAGUUGAAACUCAAAGGAAUUGACGGGGACCCGCACAAGCGGUGGAUGAUGUGGUUUAAUUCGAUGCAACGCGAAAAACCUUACCCACCUUUGACAUGUAUGGAAUCCUUUAGAGAUAGAGGAGUGCUCGAAAGAGAGCCAUAACACAGGUGCUGCAUGGCUGUCGUCAGCUCGUGUCGUGAGAUGUUGGGUUAAGUCCCGCAACGAGCGCAACCCUUGUCAUUAGUUGCUACAUUUAGUUGGGCACUCUAAUGAGACUGCCGGUGAUAAACCGGAGGAAGGUGGGGAUGACGUCAAGUCCUCAUGGCCCUUAUAGGUGGGGCUACACACGUCAUACAAUGGCUGGUACAAAGGGUUGCCAACCCGCGAGGGGGAGCUAAUCCCAUAAAACCAGUCGUAGUCCGGAUCGCAGUCUGCAACUCGACUGCGUGAAGUCGGAAUCGCUAGUAAUCGUGGAUCAGAAUGUCACGGUGAAUACGUUCCCGGGUCUUGUACACACCGCCCGUCACACCAUGGGAGCGGGUUCUGCCAGAAGUAGUUAGCCUAACCGCAAGGAGGGCGAUUACCACGGCAGGGUUCG